rnacentral:rRNA from 1 species
ACAACUUUCAACAACGGAUCUCUUGGCUCUCGCAUCGAUGAAGAACGCAGCGAAAUGCGAUAAGUAAUGUGAAUUGCAGAAUUCAGUGAAUCAUCGAAUCUUUGAACGCACCUNGCACCCUUUGGUAUGCCAAAGGGUACACCCGUUUGAGUGUCAUUG